rnacentral:rRNA from 1 species
AUUGAACGCUGGCGGCAUGCUUUACACAUGCAAGUCGAACGGUAACAGGCCGCAAGGUGCUGACGAGUGGCGAACGGGUGAGUAAUGCAUCGGAACGUGCCCAGUCGUGGGGGAUAACUACUCGAAAGAGUAGCUAAUACCGCAUACGAUCUAUGGAUGAAAGCGGGGGACCGUAAGGCCUCGCGCGAUUGGAGCGGCCGAUGUCAGAUUAGGUAGUUGGUGGGGUAAAGGCUAACCAAGCCAACGAUCUGUAGCUGGUCUGAGAGGACGACCAGCCACAAUGGGACUGAGACACGGCCCAGACUCCUACGGGAGGCAGCAGUGGGGAAUUUUGGACAAUGGGCGCAAGCCUGAUCCAGCAAUGCCGCGUGCAGGAAGAAGGCCUUCGGGUUGUAAACUGCUUUUGUACGGAACGAAACGGCUCUGGUUAAUACCCGGGGCUAAUGACGGUACCGUAAGAAUAAGCACCGGCUAACUACGUG